CCAUGGGUUUAGGCGUGUUUAGGGUUUAAGGCAGUACCACUCCAACAAAGAGCACUUGCAAGCUCUGUUGCCUGUUUUUUCCAGAGAAGAGAAAAAGAUGGGUGCUGACAAAGGGAAGAAGCAAAAAGUAGAUGAAGAGAACAACACCAUUGAUGGUGAGCUUGUUUUUUCCAUUGAAAAAUUGCAAGAAAUACAAGACGAGCUUGAGAAGAUCAAUGAGGAAGCAAGUGAUAAAGUAUUGGAAGUGGAACAGAAGUACAAUGAGAUCCGCAAGCCUGUCUAUGAUAAACGAAACGACAUCAUUAAAGCUAUCCCGGACUUCUGGUUGACUGCUUUUUUGAGUCAUCCUGUCCUAGGUGAACUUCUAGCUGAAGAAGACCAAAAGAUCUUCAAGUUUCUAAGUUCAAUUGAAGUUGAAGACUCUAAAGAUGUGAAGUCGGGCUACUCGAUAACCUUUAACUUCAAUGCGAAUCCUUAUUUUGAAAAUACAAAGCUCUCAAAGACCUAUACCUUCCUUGAAGAUGGACCCACAAAGAUUUCUGCUACAACAAUAAAAUGGAAAGAAGGCAUGGGCAUUCCUAAUGGAGUUGCACAUGAGAAGAAAGGAAACAAGCGAUCUCAUGCUGAGGAAAGCUUCUUUACAUGGUUCAGUGAAGUCAAUCAAAAAGAUGAGGAUGAGGAUGAGGCUCUAGAGAUUCAGGAUGAGGUCGCUGACAUAAUUAAGGAUGACUUGUGGCCGAACCCGCUCACCUAUUUUAACAAUGAGCCUGAUGAAGAAGAUUUUGAUGGUGACGAGCUUCAUAAUAAGGUACUUCCCAAGGUCAAAGAUCGUAAGUAAUAAAGGUUCAUUGAGGGUGGAAGAAGACUCUGGAGUUGAGUGGAGCUUGAGGGAAAGGACAGUGAAGGCUCUGAAGACGAAGAGGAAGAAGAGGAGGAGGAUGAGGAUGGUGAUGAAGAAUGAAGGCAGAUAAUCGCCUCGUACUUUGGGAUCUCGUCUUCAAUGGUUUUAAUCAUCAGGGUUUAAUGUCUGUAAAGAGGCUUUGAGUGUUGCCAAAGAACAGAAUAACUGUGGUGACUAUACCUUUUCUCUUCUUGUAUGGUUUUAACUUAUAAGCAAAAUAUCCAAUUCCGGAGGUUCAAAAAUGUUAUUUCAUUA